rnacentral:lncRNA from 1 species
UGAAGGACUAAUCCCGAUACCAUCACAAUGGAACCCGAGGCUUCAAAUGCUCAAACAAUGGAUAGUAAUGUCAUUAAUCUCAUUUUGGCUCGCCUUGAAACUAUGUAUCGAGAUGUGGCUAGGUUGAAUGUGGGUCUUGAGAAACUAGAUACGGAUGUGGCAUCAAUUAGUGAGAGAUUAGAGCGUGUGGAAAGUCAAAGGAGUAGACCAUCCACCCCUCAAAACAUUUCCUCGACCACUACUCCUGAGGCCUUGCACCAAAUGUUCCAUCUACUAGGGGUGUACAAACCAAAUCGUUAAGUUAAACCGAACCGAUGAAUCAAACCAAACCGAGGAAAAAA